rnacentral:rRNA from 1 species
UACGUAGGGGGCGAGCGUUGUCCGGAAUUACUGGGCGUAAAGGGUGCGUAGGCGGCGAUUUAAGUUGGAUGUGAAAUACCCGGGCUUAACCUGGGGGGUGCAUCCAAGACUGAAUAGCUAGAGUGCAGGAGAGGGAAGCGGAAUUCCUAGUGUAGCGGUGAAAUGCGUAGAUAUUAGGAGGAACACCAGUGGCGAAGGCGGCUUUCUGGACUGUAACUGACGCUGAGGCACGAAAGCGUGGGGAGCAAACAGGAUUAGAUACCCUGGGAGUCCACGCUGUAAACGAUGAAUACUAGGUGUAGGGUGUAUGAACUCCCCCUGUGCCGGAGCAAACGCAAUAAGUAUUCCGCCUGGGGAGUACGGCCGCAAGGUUGAA